CCUGGGGGCAAGGCUGCUCUGGGAUAUGUUGAAAAUUGCCCAAGAGCUUCCAGCAAUGUUGGUGGCGUAACAUGUAUACACAAGAGCUCAACAUCUUAAAAAAUCCAUCUGGGUACUGCAUGGGGCCCUAAUGCUGGACUGUGCCGCGCUGUGCCCCAGGGAAGGGAGAGAAGACCUGCUGAAACAGUGCACACCUGCCAAGCUUCACAUCAGAUUUCUUCACUCUACAGAAAGAUAAUAGCCUGGAACAGGGGUUGGCCGACACUGUCAGGCAGGACUCAGAAACCACAGAAGGCCCUGGGUGCUUGACGUUGAAGUGUCUACACUGCUUUCCAUCCAUUACUUGCCUCUCCAGUAGAUUUUGCUGUUAUUUUCAUGGAACAAAGACUUUGCCAGACCAGUUUCUAAGUUGGAGAAGUGAAGCCACUUGGUCACUGUUUAACUGAACCAAUUAACUGGAGGUAUGACAGCCACAAGCAUGGACAAGACUCUUGUGCUGCAGAAGGGAGGAUGUGGUUAAGUGUUCUUGUGCAAAGACAUGUGGGGUGAGGGUGAAAUAAUUUUGGGCUGUACCUUAUACUUUUGCGCAUGUAAAUUAUACUUCAGUAACAAGUUAAAAAAUAAAAAAGAAAAGCAAAAUAGUCUUGGCAUACAUUUUGUGGCAAAUUAACUAAUGGUCAACUUGUAAUGCCCAGCUGAACUGAAUCAGUGUGCUCUGUGUGUGGAAGACCCACCUGAGGAUUGUUGCCAAUAGCCAUAAAAAGAGAACUGGAGGGGACGAUCUUAGCCUGUUGAUUU
ensembl:lncRNA